ACGAACGCUGGCGGCAGGCUUAACACAUGCAAGUCGAGCGAGACCUUCGGGUCUAGCGGCGGACGGGUGAGUAACGCGUGGGAACGUGCCCUUCUCUACGGAAUAGCCCCGGGAAACUGGGAGUAAUACCGUAUACGCCCUUUGGGGGAAAGAUUUAUCGGAGAAGGAUCGGCCCGCGUUGGAUUAGGUAGUUGGUGGGGUAAUGGCCCACCAAGCCGACGAUCCAUAGCUGGUUUGAGAGGAUGAUCAGCCACACCGGGACUGAGACACGGCCCAGACUCCUACGGGAAGCAGCAGUGGGGAAUCUUAGACAAUGGGGGCAACCCUGAUCUAGCCAUGCCGCGUGAGUGAUGAAGGCCUUAGGGUUGUAAAGCUCUUUCAGCUGGGAAGAUAAUGACGGUACCGGCAGAAGAAGCCCCGGCUAACUCCGUG
rnacentral:rRNA from 1 species